CCUACGGGUGGCUGCAGUGGGGAAUAUUGGACAAUGGGCGAAAGCCUGAUCCAGCCAUGCCGCGUGUGUGAAGAAGGCCUUCGGGUUGUAAAGCACUUUCAGUGGGGAAGAAAGCCUUGGGGCUAAUACCCUCGAGGAAGGACAUCACCCACAGAAGAAGCACCGGCUAACUCCGUGCCAGCAGCCGCGGUAAUACGGAGGGUGCGAGCGUUAAUCGGAAUUACUGGGCGUAAAGCGCGCGUAGGCGGUCUGAUAAGCCGGUUGUGAAAGCCCCGGGCUCAACCUGGGAACGGCAUCCGGAACUGUCAGGCUAGAGUGCAGGAGAGAAAGGUAGAAUUCCCGGUGUAGCGGUGAAAUGCGUAGAGAUCGGGAGGAAUACCAGUGGCGAAGGCGGCCUUCUGGACUGACACUGACGCUGAGGUGCGAAAGCGUGGGUAGCAAACAGGAUUAGAUACCCUAGUAGUC
rnacentral:rRNA from 1 species